CGGAAAGCGAUAGGGGCGCAUCCGGGAGACCUUGGACACCUCCUCUAAACGCAAGGAAAAUGUUUAAACUGGAGUUUAAACUGAUUGAUCUUAUCCUGAAAUGUAGUAUUAUGGUAAGUUUGGGUUCACAGAAAUCUAUAGUUGUGUCAUGAACAAAAUACUAGACAAUGGAAUAAGGAAUCAUCAUACUGCAGUUGGAGGAGCACCACAACUGGAGCCAGAGCACCUUGGGUUGUGUCCUAUCUCUGCCAGAUACACUUAGUGUCCUUAUUUCACCUUCCUUUGCUAUAAAAUGGUGCCACCUGUCCUAGAGGCUACAGGAUUGUUGUGAGACAUAUUGUAAUAAUAAGACCAUUUUGUCAAAACAAAAUUUAAGCCCAAUGUAAAGUAAUAAUAAUAAUAAUUGAUCAUAUGUAUAAUGAUACCUUUUGGUCAAACCCAAUGUCUUUAGACUUUGUAUCAACUUGAAUUUUUCUUUCUCAGAGUGACCUUACCUGACUAACCCUAUUCUAACUACAUCAUUUGACCUCCACCCCCAUCAUAGUGGUUACCAUGAUUUUUAAUUACUUAUUUUUGACAUGAUUUGUCUGCCUUCCUGAAACAAAAGCUCCAUAAGGUAUAGGCCAGUGUUUUUCUUGUUCACCAUCACAUCCCCAACAUCUAGCCCAGGACCAGGCUCGCAGGAAGUACUCAGCACAUAUGUUUUGAAUUAUAAUAAGCAUAAGAAAUGACUCUAGGAAAAUACAAUCAACUGAGUCCUGUUUAGAAAAAUGGGUUUAAAUCAUAAAAAUGCUACAUUCCCAUAAUUUUGCUUGAAGAGUCAUCUGUCUAGAUGCCCACAUAGAACCCACAUGUCUAUCACAUAUGCAUUAUUUUUAGAUAAUCCUGGUGCUUAAAUAGGCUUAUUACUUUUUUUUUUUCCGUCCCAGAUAGCCGCUGGAGGUUUAGGGUGAAAUCAGAAGAAGCAAACAGUUUCUACUAUUAUUAAAAUUGCCAUAAAGCGGAGUCUGAAAGUCAUAGACAGAGUGGGUUUUAGAGCUUUUUCCACACCAUCAUUCUACAAAAUGAGGAAGCUGAGGUCACAGAGCAUCGAUGUGAGUUGAUCAGUAUCAAACAGAUGGUAAGUGGCAGGGCUGGAUUACAGCCCUGGUUAAGGACAAAGCCAUCGCUAAGGGGAUUUGUAGAGAACUGAACACACAUAGUUUUCUUCAAUUCCGCUGUCUUACAUUUGUUGCAGGAUUUAUAAUUAUCUCUUUAUUCAAUAGUUCAGUGCUAUUGAACUAUUGUUGGUCAUACUUCUUAAGUAGACUUUUUAUUAAAGUUCUUUAUUUUGCUGGGUUUGUCUUUCCAACACUUAAUAAAUAUAAGCUGCCACUAGCAUCAGUGAUGCAUAGCAAAGCUACUGUUAGUCUUAACCUCUUCUUUAUUACCUCUGUUUUAUUUUCCCCUUUGAGGAUAUCACAUAAAAAGAAAAUUUGCUUUUGAAAGAAAUCCUGUGUUUUAUUUGUUUUUAGAUUUUUAAAAUUUUUAAUAUUUGGUCCUUUCCCCUCUUGAAAUGUAUACUGUACCAGAAUGGAAGUUAUAUUGCCUCCUGAUUAUAAACAUCUAUUUUAUAACACUAUGCUCAAAAUAUUAAAAAAGCAUAAAAUGUGCUCUUAAAGCAAUGAAAUUUAAUUUUCAGCACACUGGCCUCAUGAAGGAAAUAUGCUAUGUAUAUAUAGAUAAUUUUAAGAAUGUAGACUUCCUGUACACUUAACAAAGAAGAACAUGAUAACUCAAUCAAAUUAAGGGAAAAAUGAAAGUCUAGAGAAGAAAAACGAGGCUCUGGUUAAGAAUAAAAUCGUGGCAUUUUCAGCUGUUUAGUCAUUAUUUUAUAAAUGACUCAAAUGUUCAUAUUCUUUAAGAAUAUUCUGAGUAUAAAGAGUUAUAGAAUUUCAGAGGUGGAGAAGCUAGAUUAGUUAGCUCCAAAGUGGGAAACAGAUUCCCAGCUCCGACGGUUUGCAGAGGCUGCUCUGAGUUCUGUGUUGAGAGGGAGUCUGAGGCUGGCUCUGGCAGAGCUGUAAGGAGGACCACCAGUGGUUAGCCGUGCCAUUUGCUGGGGAGGAUGCCACUGUAGCCAAGGGCCUUACAGCUGUCUUUCUGGAUUUGGUUUAUUACCCUCUGUACCUUUGUUUUUAUUUUUGUAAACAAAUCAACUGAACAUGGAGGCCCAGAAAACUGAACUAAUUUAUCCCCGGCGACAUAAUUAAGUUGAAGCAGAGCCAGGGCCAGAGUCCUGGGCACGUGGAUGUUGGUUCACUGUCCUUCCCACCGUGUAGGCAGGGCUCACUUGAGGGGAUAUGUGUUCUCGCCAGUGCUGGAGGACAAAAUCUGAAGGAUGGUAACUCAGUAUUGUUAAAUGGUUAGUAACGUACUGUUGAUUAGAAGCUGACAAGUUUUUGUACAGGAAGGUUAGUGAGAUACAGUAUUUCAGGAAGGACCCUGGCAAAGCUAGAAAGUGCAGGCCAUUUUAUGAGAUUAUUAGUGAGUCAAGUCAUUUGACUCGGCUCACAAGUAAAUAUAUCUAUAUCUGGGCAUUAAAAUAUAACUUUUUAACAGUUAACCAUUUGUAAUUGCCUACUUUAGGUUUAUUAAGUUUUUCUGCUAAAUAACAAACCAAUAUAAUUACUAUGCUGACAGAGGAGCAAUCAUGCAGUCCAGUACCUUAGGUCUGUGUCAAGAGUUAUUUAUAAGUCAGCCACCAAGUAGCAAAAUGAUGAAGAUCUGAAUUUCACCUUUGUCUCCCUCUAUAGUAUUUAGAGGAUAUUAAAGAGUGUGUAAUGGCCCAAAUGUAGAUGUUAGAAAAAAUAAAGGAGAGAGUAAAUAUGGCAAUUACACUAAGUAUGAGUAUUUAAUUUAGGGAAGGUCGUAUACUUAAUCAGGAAAUAAUAUUUUAAUGACUUUUUGGUGAAACUCAUGUUCAGAGUGAAGAAAUUUGGCUAAAACAAAACUCCAUUACUUUUGUAAAAUGCAAAUCCAAUGAUUUAUAUUUCAGUAAUCAAUAACUAUACUGUCUCUAAACUGUGGCCCAAAGAAGCAAUUUUGUGAAAAUUAAGUGUUUUAUAAAGCUUCACCAAUGUGUGACAUGUGAAAAUCAAAAGAGUUGUCAGGACAGUGGGAAAAUGUUUCCCAUAAAAACUAAAACUUAGAAGAUGGAGACUGUAAAAUAAAGGAACUGCGUGCACUUAAUAUGGAGAAUACUUUUUCUACUAAUGUUACUUUAAAAUGGGACAGUCAUCAUUUUAAGAUGAUACAUAGACAGUACAAAGGAAUGGACUAGAUUAUCCAGACAAUACUCAUUUAAAAAUGAUACACAUUGCACAUUUUGGGGAGAGAAAUGGGCUAGAUAAUCUUCCCAAAGACUCUAAUUAUGUGUACGUAUGGGCAAGAAAAGCACAUCUCUGGGCACACUGGGUUUAUUUGAUACGCUUGUCAUGUACCACAAUGUUUCAAAAAAUGGAGGUGAAAUUAAUACGCUAAUAAAAUUUCAAGUAGAAUUGGUUAGAUGCUGAGGUUCUAGAAAGUCCAGGAAACUGAAGGAUGCAUUUUUAAGAUGCAGAAUUUUAACGGUGUUAGAAAUACUAAUGGCAUCAGUAAUAAAUGUAUUGAGGCUACAGAAACAAUUGUCCCCUCCUUGUUUCCAUGAAUACUUUUCCUAUGUUAAUACAGGAAAUAAAAAAAAAAAAACCACCAUCUUUUGUGUAUCUAGUUCAGGUUUCUCAUUUUGUAGAGACAUUACUGGAGUGCCCUGGAAUACUAAUGGCACUUAUAGCCUAACUAAUGCAUUAAAAAAAAAUGAUGUCACUCAUAUGUAGAAUCUAAAAAAAAAAAAAGAGAAAAAAGAAGGCACUAAUGAACUUAACUACAAAAGGGAAACAGACUCACAGACAUAGUA